UUCCCUCUGAUGUCCUACCACUGCUCGGUCUCAACUCUGUGAUUCACGGAGGUUCCUGAAAGCAACAUGCAGACCGAAGCUGCAGCUGAAGCUGCAGCUGCAGCUGCAGCGGUGGGUAGUUGGGGACAGCUCUGCGUAGUUGGGGACAGCUCUGCUAAAUAAGCUUCGGUCUGCAGGCAGCCUACAUGUUGCUUUCAGGAACCUCCGUGAAUCACAGAGUUGAGACCAAGCAGUCUAGGACAUCAGAGGGGAAACCAGAGGACAUUUUCUCCAUAAAAUAUGACCUGGUUUUACUAAAAUUGCUGUUUUGUGUGACGCAUAAACGUGCAUGGUUAAGUUUCAGUUUUUGAAGCCCCAUGUCGCAGCCAAAGUUGCAUACUGUUGCUUUAAUAGUUGGCUUAGUACUUGUGUGUCAGAAAUAGGGAGUACUAAUGCUUGCAUAUUUUUCUUAAAUAGGUCCCAUACUAUUCUGUCCUACCUCACUUGGGGGGAAAAUAGCAGUUGUAUAAAAAUGAUUUUACUUUUGUGUUAUUUCAGUAGAUCAUCUGAGAUUAGGGUGACCAGACAUCCCCAAUUUGGGUGACCUGUCCCGAGCUAGAGCUGUCCCCGGAAAUGUCCCCAAUUUCAACUGUGGAUAAAAAAAACCACAAGUGAAAUAGACACCACAGCUCUGAUUCUGGUUGCGCACAGACUAAUGCAGUAACAUAUACUGUUGUUGGUGGCUGUAUUAUAGUGAACUGUGAACAUUACCGUGUGUGAGAGCCAUUUGUAUUAAAUGUGUGUAUUUGUAUUUUUUGUUACACUCCCGCCACUUGGGAGUAGUGGUACUGGCAAUUGGGCAGCGCCAGAGUUUAUAUAAUCCAGGUGUAACCACACACAGGUGUUGCUGUGUGGAGGCGAAGUUUUUUGACCGUGCUGCAUGCACCAGGCGCUGUGGAGACGACAGUCGAGUUAUUUUGUUUGCUUAUUUUUGGUUUAUGAGUGGCAAAUGGCUGUACCUGAACUGAAUGAAAGUAAGUAAUAAAUCAACAUUGGAAAACUGGAAAUAUUGUCUGUAGUGCAUUGCACACGUCAUAAAUUACCUCAAAUGGCAACCGUGGUGGUGGCCUUUUUUUGAUAGGCGAAGGGUCACUACACCGUGUGAUAGCUAUUACAAUAUAUUAUGAUGUGACUCUGUUUUAGGAGAGGAAGAUUACUGAUAGAAGAGUAAAAGGAAGCAGGAGGAAAAAAAAUGUCCUUUAAUGACAAGAUACCAAAAAACAAAACAUUUACGCCUGUAGACCACAAUGACACAGUGGUCCAUUGCAUUCUUUGAAAGUCGUCAAAAUACAUGAAACCGCAAUUGCCCCCAUUUUUUAUUUCAUAAUGAUAAUAUUUAAUGACUUCUGUACUCUGAACUUGAAAUGUCUCUGCUUUUCAUUUCAGAAAUCUGGUCACCUUAUCUGAGAUGAAAUGGAAAUAACAACUGCGUGUUUUCCCUGGCUGUUUUUAAUUAAUGUAGUUUGUGAAUGUUACUGAGCACUUUAUUGGACUUCAGAAGUAAUGUGAAUGAGUGAGGGACUUUCUUUAAGUUGUACUUUUCUUAAUCUCAACAGUGUUAACUGCAGCUAGAUGGGCAAAUGACUCCCUCCUGUGAUGGAAUCAAGUGGAUUCAGCGUUCAAGAUUCAGAUUUGAAGUUCAAGAUCCACAUUUACAGUUUCACACUGCAUGUUUGAUACCAACCUUCUGUUCCCUUUUCCUUUUGAAUUAAAGCUUCCUUUUCUCUUCUCU